rnacentral:rRNA from 1 species
UAUAAUUUUAAGUAAAACCUGCUCAAUGAUCAACACAUAAAUAGCCGCAGAACAUCUGUGCUAAGGUAGCAUAAUAAUUAGCUUUCUAAUUAAAAGAUAGAAUGAAUGGUUAAACAAUAAAGCACUAUCUUAUAUAAUAAAAACAAAAUUAAUAUUAAGGUUAAAAAGCCUUAAUAAAACAAUAAGACGACAAGACCCCAAUAAACUUUAUAAUUUAGUUGGGGCAACAAAAAAACAAAAACUUAAUUAAACAACUCACAAAACUCUUACAAUAAAUAUAGAAUAGUUACUAUGGGGAUAACAGCGCAAUUUCUUUUAAAAGACCUAAUUUAAAAAGAAUAUUACGACCUCGAUGUUGAAUUAAUUUCUCUACAGGGCGCAAAAGCUCUAGAAAGUGGGUCUGUUCGACCAUUAAUAAAUU